AUUGAACGCUGGCGGCAUGCCUUACACAUGCAAGUCGAACGGCAGCACGGGUGCUUGCACCUGGUGGCGAGUGGCGAACGGGUGAGUAAUACAUCGGAACAUGUCCUAUAGUGGGGGAUAGCCCGGCGAAAGCCGGAUUAAUACCGCAUACGAUCUCCGGAUGAAAGCGGGGGCCCUUCGGGCCUCGCGCUAUAGGGUUGGCCGAUGGCUGAUUAGCUAGUUGGUGGGGUAAAGGCCUACCAAGGCGACGAUCAGUAGAUGGUCUGAGAGGACGACCAGCCACACUGGGACUGAGACACGGCCCAGACUCCUACGGGAGGCAGCAGUGGGGAAUUUUGGACAAUGGGCGAAAGCCUGAUCCAGCAAUGCCGCGUGUGUGAAGAAGGCCUUCGGGUUGUAAAGCACUUUUGUCCGGAAAGAAAUCCUUGGCUCUAAUACAGUCGGGGGAUGACGGUACCGGAAGAAUAAGCACCGGCUAACUACGUG
rnacentral:rRNA from 1 species